UGUUUUCUGACUCUGUAGUGGAAGAUGGACAAGGAAUUGGGUCUCACACGGUCAGCCAUGGCACCGUAGUGUAGCCCUCUUUCUCAUAAAUAGCAGAAAGUCAUCACUUAGGUCAUCUUUUAGAACGCAAAUACUUUAGGAAGAGAUAACGCACUCAACUCACACUGAAGUGUUAGUAACAUAUCACAUUCCUUCUUUCCAGGCAGGGGACAUUCUGAGCAUGGGGGUCGGGGGCUGGGCAAGUCAGAGUACCUCAAAGACACUGGCUACCUAGUACCCAACUUAACUGCACGCUGGCUGGCACUUGCACUUUCAUUUUACCUUCAUACCCUCACCAAUGACCAAACACCUAACAAAGCUAAGAGCGGUACUAUCUAUUCUAGUGGUUUUUAAGAACUCGGUCUUUGGGGACAGAGCUGGGGGUCAACUCCUGGCUCUCCCUCUUGCCAGCAGCAUCAGUGCAUUGGUUUCCUAGGGCAGCUGCAACAAACCACCACAAGUACGGUGGCCUAAAACAACACAAAUUUAUUAUUUUACAGCUCGUCAGGUCAGAAGUCGGACACAGGUCUCACUGGGCUGAAAUCUAUGCUGCUGGAAGUCCUUGUGUGUGUGGUUGACUGGAAGGGGCACAGGGGUCUUCUGGAGUGCUGGUUAUGUGCAUUUCUUGGUCAGGGUGCUAGUGACAGGGAUGUCUACAGUUUGUAUCCAACAAGCUGUAUGCUAAGAUGUAUACUUUUCUGUUUUACACUGCAAUGAAAAGUUAAAAACAGACAAAUACCCUGGGAGGUCCAUCUUUUCCAUGGAGAAACUGAGGCAAAGAUGAAGUUAGAGCUCUGUCAGUAGGGACAGAACUGAGACCAGGGUCUGGGCAGCCCACCUCCUAGUCUUUUGAGUUUAAUGUAUUCGAGGCCAAUUUCCAACACUAAUUAUGUAUUAUAUAUUUAAAAUCUCUUGAGAAAAGCUUUUUUUAAAAAAUUUCUUUUGCCAUAGAGUCACAUUUCUAUUGCAAGUGAAAGGUACCUUGUAUGCUUCAGACACACCUGUAAAAACAGAACCAAUCCUGUCAUAUAUCCCUGUCUGCUUCACUUUUUUUCAGACGCUGUGAAAAACAUGCCACAAUAAUAAACCCCUUUUCCAUCCUAGCCAGCUGGAAAAUUACGUGAUGCUUGAAGUGACAUCAUUCAGCUACGACACCAAGCCAGUGGCUGCUCUGAGAAAUCUGGGUUAGACAAUGACAGCAUGGAUGUGAAUGCCACUAGGCAAUGAAUCCCACCCUUUUUAUUAGCAAAUGGCUGUUUUUAUCACCAUGACAUUUUAAAAAUGAAACUGUGACAGCUACAUUGUCUGAGGCCAUUGAUCACCCAACAUCUCUUAUCUCCAAAAGGAAGCCCACUGGCCAGAGGUGUCCUGUUUCAAAGCAGGGAAGACAAGAAUGGAGGUAAAGGAGAGCUCAUUUUAAACCACUAGUUCCAAAGGGAAAGACCAGGGCCCAGGACUGAGGUACUGGGGUCUUCCAGGGGAUAGACAGUCUUCCCUCUAUCUCUAUCAAUUGUUUCUAAAGUGAGCUCAAGUAGCAGUAGUGAUAAUACCUUAAGUAGUAAUGACAGUAUCUACAAUAAUACUCUUUGCUAUAGACACAGAUACUGUAUCAUAAACCCUAGGCAAAACCCCAGGAUGCUUAUUAGGUAAACAUAACAUCACGAGGAGGCCCAGACAUUCCUCCACCUUUUUGACCUUUAAGUUGAACUACAUAAAAUGCAAUAAGUGACCCUUUCCAACUUCAAAAAAUGGGCAAUUUCAUAUGGCUCAUCCUAAUAGACUGGCCCCUCCCCCAAGAUCCUUCUCUGCAGAUGUGUUAGGAACUGCCAAAAGAUCUAGGGAAAUGUCCAUACUUCUCAAGCAACAGAGAAUUAGAAACACUGCUGCACCUCAUCAUAUAAAAGUGCAGAGGAUGGCCCUGGGGCAAAAGACGUCCUGCUGUCCUCCGAAAGAGCUGGACCCUCGACCAGUGGGCCCUCUGUCCUUUGCCCACUCAGUGUGAAGCCAGGUGCAAUAGGUUAAAAGCACAUCCUCAAGUCAACAGCAAAGGCAGAGGCGUGCCCACAGCAGGGAGACUGGAGUAGCAUUAGGUCCCACCCUUGAGGGAGCCCAAGAAGAUCCGCGGUUGAUGUGCUGCGUGCUGCAAGGCUGCCCGAGACCCAGUCCUCGCUCGGAAGCCAGAGGACAAGGAAGCUGGGGUCCUACCCGGGUAGCAAGGUUUCAGAUGACCAGUCUGCCACAGGUGCUGGAUGCUUCUGCACUGGAGUGCAGGGCCCAGGGUAAGAGAGAGUACCCUGCUUCAGAGCCACUCUCCACAGGUGAAGAGGCAUGGCCUAGUCGGUUCACAAUCUGCCAGGGAGGGCUCUGGGAAGGAGAACCGGCUGCUUCUAAUGCAGGACUAGAGGCUCCAAAAAUUCACCUUUGGGUUGAACACAUCUGUGUGAAAAAAGCCUGGCGGAAAGAAAAACUGGAUUAUGCUGACGCUCAAUGCGCGUAACCUUAACUACAGCAUGUUUGCUUCUGCAAACACUACAGUAUAUGAAAUUAAAUAUUAAUAGCCAUCACCUCACCCCUUCGGAGAACAGGCCUGAGUCACAGCUCCUGUGUGGCGUGAUUUCCAUUCACGGACUCACUGUGAACGCUGCUCACGUUACGAAGCCUCAAACCAGGCAAAACCAAAGCAAGUGUGUGUUUUUAUUCCAUAAUGUCAUGGGGAACAUUGCUUAUUUUGGAGGCCAAGUUCAGUUCUCCUGAAUUUACCACCUAUGACACAUUUUAAGACUAAUCACCUCAAAACAUACUAGGAGAAAUGACAAAGUUAUUUUUAAGUUAGAAAGGAAAAUAUUGGAAUAAGAUGAACAUGUCUGUUAUUUAUCAGUGACGAGAUUUGCAGCACUCGGCUGAACUCUUCUGACAUUUGAAAGCACCAACAUAUUUGUAUUGGUGAAUAUAUUUCCAGUGCCCCUUAUCUGUGCAUUGCAAAUGGACAUAAUUAGAUUUUUAAACUUUGCAUGGGUGGUGUCAAGUAUGCCAAAGAUAUUUAGCUUCCUGGGGGUUUAUGGGAGGUCUGGUUUCCCCUCUCUACCUCUGCAUGGUCACUGUCUUCUUGAUAAGCUUUAGACUCUCAGCAGCCUAAACCAUUUGACGGUUUUGUGUAUGAUGAUUACAAAGCAGAGUUAAAGGAAAGAAUGAAAGUCAAGCAGCCAGCCCAGUACCUGGCACGCAGCAAACAUCCCACAAAUGUUAGCUCCCUUUUCCCUUCCCCACUUCUUAUACUCUUAGAGGGAUAAGUGCUUUCAAGUCAGUGUUCAGAAUUGAUUCUUCAAAUCCCCCAGGAGAUAGUGUAAAGUGAACAUUCCGCUUUUAUUGGUGAGGGGCCAACAAGGGGAGGAUGGAGGAUUUACUCUGUGGGAUGGGAUCCUGGCACAGUCAGAGACUGGACCAAAGCUCUCUCUGCCACAGCUUAACAGCAGGGCUCCUGGGCUAAAUCGCUUCUUUCGGUGGCCUGCCACACCAAGGUGUGUUUUUAAAAUCUGCGCAAUAAAAUUUAGUGUGGUUGGAGAGGUGGCAGCGGAUGGGAACCCACCCACAGGCAACUGACGUCAAAAAACCAGAGGGAAACAUUAGGCUUCUCUGUUCUCGAGAAGCUUCUGCUCUGUUAAGCAACCUGAGAAGGAAGCUGACUUUCCAUUAAAAAACGGCCACUUUGGCAGUUGUCAGAGACAGCCUGGUGUCUUAUACUUCCCCUCUCAGGAAAAGUGAGGAAAAUAAUUUCCAUAAGUUGGAAAGGAAGAAACCAGCAGUUCAAAGAAUAGAGCUGGAAAGGAAUUUGAAGGGCACUUAGAGUAACCUCCACCUCCAGAGAGCAAAUGAGGAAAGAGGCCCAGCGAAGACUGGGGACUAAUCUUGCCCUUAAAUUUGCAGGGUAGCCCACCCUGUAGGCCACGCUGCCUUCACAAAGCUAGCUAGCUGCCUGCACCUUGGUCAGCUGUUGAGAGGGACAUGCCUCGAAUUCUAGUCUGAAGAGGGGUUGCUGCAAGGGAGGCUCCCAGAUGCCUGGAAGGAGAACUGCACUCUAAUGUUGAUACCCCGAGGCUGGAGAUGUUGCUUUGGAAGAGGCUCUGGGGAAGACUGGUGUGGGGGAGGGUGUGCAUGUGUGUGCACACAUGCAUGUGUGUAAAGGGGCAAAAAAACAGGCAGCCCUUUCCUCCUUACACCUUUCCCCGCGGAAAACAACCUGAUGCAUGACUCUGUGUCCUGAUGCUUGACUCUGUGCCCAGCCAGCCUUCUCCUGGCUGGUCUCUGAGGCCAACACUGUGUACACACAGAAGACGGCUCUCCUUGAAACAUGGCAGCUGCACUUGAUCUGGACACCAGCCUCUGGGUCUCUCAGUUCUUCAGUUUUCUCCUUUCUAGAGAAGCCCGAGAAGCAGCAUGCCAAAAUCAAAGAGCAGAGUUGUUCACAUGCUCCACACAUGCCUGCAGGUGUGGGUCUUCCCUGUGUCUGCAGGAAACCAAUGUGUCUGAUUUUAAAAUACGGUGAUGUCACUCAUAAGACUGUACUUUCCUUAGGAAAUUAGUAAUGUCCUUAUUUCUAGGGGCCCUUCAUAUCCAUCUUUCCUCUCUUUUUCAUUGAAUCUCAACAGCUUUGUGAGGGUGGUGGCCUUUUGUUCCCUUCGGGUGAGAAACAAAGGCUCAGAAAGAGGAAAAUUCCGACCUGGAACAGCAAGCCAGUGAUGCAGCAGAGCCAAAACUCGGGCCCACCUCUCCUUUCUAGUAUCAGCUGGAUGUACACAUGGGGGGAACAGCUCUGUGUCUGUGGGUCACCAGGUGAUUCCAUUCAGGGAACACACACCUAAGUCCAAGACUGGGUUGGGCAAACAGGACAUAGAAGGUGGACAGUGCUGCUGCACCAUUCAUUGAUUCAGCAAAUAUUAACUGAGAGCCUACAUUGCCAUGCUCUGUCCUGGGGGCUUGGGAUACAUUAGCAAACCAAACUGAUGUGGACUGGGGUCCUUAGGGAGGUCACAGUGUAGCAGGAAGAGACAUUCAAUAAACAAAAAUAUUUUUUAAGUUUUUAGAGACAAGGUCUCACUCUGUUACCCAGAUUGGAGUGCAGUGGCACAAUCGUAGUUUACUGUAACCUUGAACUCCUGGGCUCAAGCAAUCCUCCUACCUCAGCAUCCUGAGUAGCUGGGACUGAGUAGCUGAGACCUGGUUAAUUUUAUUAAAAUCUAUAUUUAUAGAGAGGGGGUCUGUUUUUUUAUUAUUAUUAUUAUUAUUAUUAUUAUUUCAGACAGGGUCUCACUCUGUCACACAGGCCGGAGUACAGUGGCUCACUGCUGCCUUGACCUCCUUGGCUCAGGCAAUCUUCCCGCGUCAGCCUCCUGAGUAGCUGGGACUACAGGCAUGCAUCACCACACCCAGUUAAUUUUUACAUUUUUUUUUUUUUGUAGAGACAGAGUCUCGCUAUGUUGCCCAGGCUGGUCUCGAUCUCCUGGGCUCAAGUGAUCCAUCCACCUCGGCCUCCCAAACUGCUGGAAUUACAGGUGUGAGCUACUGUGCCCAGCCAGAGACAGGGUCUCACUAUAUUGACCAGACUGGUCUUGAACUCCUGGGCUUAAGUGAUCCUGCCACCUCAGCCUCCCAAAGUGUUGGGAUUAUAGGUGUGAGCUACCAUGCCCAACCAAUAAACAAAAUUCUUUACUUUUUUAUUCUUUAUUAAGUUAUUCGUUUCUUUCCCUGUCUUGAUUCCC
rnacentral:lncRNA from 10 species